UACAGAGGUCUCAAGCGUUGUUCGGAUUCAUUGGGCGUAAAGGGUGCGUAGGUGGCGGGGUAAGUCAGGUGUGAAAUCUCGGGGCUCAACCCCGAAACUGCAUUUGAUACUGCCUUGCUCGAGUACUGGAGAGGAGAUUGGAAUUUACGGUGUAGCAGUGAAAUGCGUAGAUAUCGUAAGGAAGACCAGUGGCGAAGGCGGCUCUUUGGUCUGUAACUGACGCUGAGGCGCGAAAGCGUGGGGAGCGAACAGG
rnacentral:rRNA from 1 species